rnacentral:sRNA from 1 species
AUAUAGAUAUAUAGUUGAUACAUUUAUACAAUUAUUAAUUUAUGAUAUUGAUGGGACCAUAUAUUUACAUAAGACUUUUAAAAAAUUAUUAUCUUAUUAAUUUAUCGAUUUAUGUCACUUUUUAUAUUGAUCCUGGACCAGAAAUAUUUAUUAAUUU